rnacentral:rRNA from 1 species
GUGGGGAAUCUUGCGCAAUGGGCGAAAGCCUGACGCAGCGACGCCGCGUGGGUGAUGAAGGCCUUCGGGUUGUAAAGCCCUGUGGGGAGGGACGAAUAAGGGCGACCGAAUACGUCGCCAGAUGACGGUACCUCCUUAGCAAGCACCGGCUAACUCUGUGCCAGCAGCCGCGGUAAGACAGAGGGUGCAAACGUUGUUCGGAAUUACUGGGCGUAAAGCGCGUGUAGGCGGUUUGGUAAGUCGGAUGUGAAAGCCCGGGGCUCAACCCCGGAAGUGCAUUCGAUACUACCGAGCUAGAGUACUGGAGAGGAUGGUGGAACUCUCGGUGUAGAGGUGAAAUUCGUAGAUAUCGAGAAGAACACCGGUGGCGAAGGCGGCCAUCUGGACAGAUACUGACGCUGAGACGCGAAAGCGUGGGGAGCAAACAGGAUUAGAAACCCUAGUAGUCC